rnacentral:lncRNA from 10 species
UUUUUUAUUUCUUAUUUUUCAGUGACCUUAGGUUUCUCCCCUGGGUGGGAAUUUUUUUUUAUUUGAUUUUUUUUUUUCAGAUAAAUUUUUAAACAAUUUCCCUCCUUUCCAGAGCUUUUUACUUACUUCUCCCUUGCUGUUAACUUCCCUUUAGUUCGGUGGGGAUAAUGGAGAAUAGGAGAGGUCUGGGGCCACUUUCACUGUUAUGGAAGUAAAAAGAAAGAAAACUUGGCUUAGAAAGCAAGUUGUUCUAAUGGCAAGGAAAAUAUUCAAGUUGAAACCUCACAGUAUCUGCUUUGCCCUCCUCCCUACUGGGUUCCAAU